GGACAUUCCAGGGUAUAUGGAACAAGGAAGAGGAUCAGGAUGGAAAGUCCCCAGAGCUCUAUUCUGGAGACGUUCUCUCUCUCAGCUUAAGGCCCUAUCCAGAAAAUGCAGAAUAAGAGAUGCAUAGCAGCUUCCGGUAUAUUGCCUCUGAAUCUACACUUGCAAACAUGAAAUUCAUAAGGAAGACUAUCUUAGUACUUACUUCAUGUGUGAAUACAACCCAUUCGUGUGGAGCCAACCCUACAAAGCUGUCAGCACCAUUUGAAGGUCAUAGGCCUCAUACUCUGGCGGAGACACUCCAGGAACCUGAAACCAAGAGACUUUGGAAUAGUAAUGCUUCAAGCCCAGUGUCCACGGUCAUUAUUCUGGUAAACAAGCCCUGUGAAGAUGAAACCUGGCAACUACUCCUGCAGGUGCUACAGACAAAUGUAUUGAAGACCAGAAAAGAAAGUUCUUGUCACCAAAAUCAAUGGUGCUGUCAAGUGAUUCAACAGGAGAUAUGGAUUUUUUUUAUUAAUAGAAAUGACAUGAAUUAAGAAUCAUUACCAUAUGCUUUGCUACUCUACC